CCUACGGGGGACAGCAGUGAGGAAUAUUGGUCAAUGGACGAGAGUCUGAACCAGCCAAGUAGCGUGAAGGAUGACUGCCCUAUGGGUUGUAAACUUCUUUUAUAUGGGAAUAAAAUGUUCCACGUGUGGGAGUUUGUAUGUACCAUAUGAAUAAGGAUCGGCUAACUCCGGGCCAGCAGCCGCGGUAAUACGGAGGAUCCGAGCGUUAUCCGGAUUUAUUGGGUUUAAAGGGAGCGUAGGUGGAUUGUUAAGUCAGUUGUGAAAGUUUGCGGCUCAACCGUAAAAUUGCAGUUGAAACUGGCAGUCUUGAGUACAGUAGAGGUGGGCGGAAUGCGUGGUGUAGCGGUGAAAUGCUUAGAUAUCACGAAGAACUCCGAUUGCGAAGGCAGCUCACUGGACUGCAACUGACACUGAGGCUCGAAAGUGUGGGUAUCAAACAGGAUUAGAUACCCGUGUAGUC
rnacentral:rRNA from 1 species